UACGAAGGGUGCAAACGUUGCUCGGAAUCAUUGGGCGUAAAGCGCACGUAGGCGGCCUCAAAAGUCGGAUGUGAAAUCCCGUGGCUCAACCAUGGACGUGCAUUCGAAACUGCGAGGCUUGAGUAUGGAAGAGGGUCGCGGAAUUCCCGGUGUAGAGGUGAAAUUCGUAGAUAUCGGGAGGAACACCGUGGCGAAGGCGGUCUGACUGGGCGUGGAACCCGUAAGGGUUCUAAUAGCCGGACGACU
rnacentral:rRNA from 1 species